rnacentral:rRNA from 1 species
GACGAACGCUGGCGGCGUGCUUAACACAUGCAAGUCGAACGGCAAGGCCCUGCUUUUGUGGGGUGCUCGAGUGGCGAACGGGUGCGUAACACGUGUGUAACCUGCUCUUGACUUUGGGGUAACUUCAGGAAACUGGGGCUAAUAUCGGAUAGGAGAUCAUGCUGGGUGGUGGGGGUUGGAACGUUUCGGCGGUUGGGGAUGGACUCGCGGCUUUUCAGCUUGUUGGUGGGGUAGUGGCUGACCCAGGCUUUGACGGGUAGCCGGCCUGUGAGGGUGACCGGCGACAUUGGUACUGAGAGACGGACCAGACUCCUACGGGAGGCAGCAGGGGGGAACAUGACACAAUGGGCGGAAGCCUGAUGCAGCGACGCCGCGGGCGGGAUGACGGCCUGCGGGGUGUAAACCGCAUUCGCCUGUGACGAAGCGGUAGUGACGGUAAUGAGUAAAUAAGCACCGGCUAACUUCGUG